rnacentral:rRNA from 1 species
UACGAAGGGGGCUAGCGUUGUUCGGAAUUACUGGGCGUAAAGCGUAUGCAGGCGGAUCGUUAAGUCGGGGGUGAAAUCCCGAGGCUCAACCUCGGAACUGCCUUCGAUACUGGCGAUCUUCGAGUCCGGGAGAGGUGAGUGGAACUCCGAGUGUAGAGGUGAAAUUCGUAGAUAUUCGCAAGAACACCAGUGGCGAAGGCGGCUCACUGGCCCGGUACUGACGCUGAGGCACGAAAGCGUGGGGAGCAAACAGG